UCUUAUGUUCUCCAUAAACAACUGCUGAUUGCUGCAACAUCCGUUCUGCCGCUGGUUUAACUCCUGGAGAAUGCUUGCAAUUCGAUUACAGAGCAAGGGAAUCUCAAUAUCAUUGCCUUUCCUUCUAUAAAAGGAAUAUAUAUAUGAAAAGAAACAUGUGGCCCUACUGUAUGCAUGCACACAUACGUUUAUUGGGGAAAAAAAAGAAAAGAAAAACAGUAGUCUUGUACUUCAAUUUCCUCUCUUUUAUUUAUGGUCUCUCUUGACUAGCUUAUCCAUGAAAGUUUUCUGCUGUGAUGCUGAGUAUGAAACAAAGGAAAUCACAGAGAGGAAAACGACAAUUAUGAACAACUACAGAGGAGACUAAAGAACAAGCAGUCUGUGCAGCUGUCACACAAAAACCGUAUCACCCAUCUUCUGGCAGAAGAAAUUGGUAUCUAAGAGGGGUUUUCAGCCAUCAGAGAGAAAUGUAAGAGGGCUGAGUCAUGAGGAUGGCGUUGCAGAAGAGGACAAAGAAAUAUUAAGACCAAGCUUUCAGGAUCCAUAGUAUGUUGGAUAUGAACAACAUGGAAUAAAACUAAAUAUAUUGGGAAUGUUAUGAGAAAGAAAACUACAGACAUUUUCUACUUUCAUUUUGAAAACAUAAAUAAGCCAGGAGAGUUUUAAUAGUUAAAUGUAUCUGACCCAAUUUUUGCACAUCUUUAAUUUAAAAUUCUCUGAAUUGUAUUUAGCAAAAAUAUUCACAAUAGCAGUAGAUACAGCGCUUGUCAGUUAAUCUGUUUAUAAUGAAAUAGCAUAUAAACAUUUUUUUCCUGAAACAACAUAAAUCUAAGCCAGAGCUUAAAAACAAAAUCUAUGGAAACCUCUACAUAUUUGCAGCAAUAUUCAUUUUUAAUGUGCUGAUCAUAUAUGUUAAUGUAAAAAUCAAGAUCUCAUUUAGACUGGGGGAUAAUAUUCAGCCUUCCAAUUGAUCAUGAAACAACAGUUUGGAAGUCUCUGUCACGUCAUUUCAGUUAUGUUAAAAAUAAAGCAGAACUGAAAAUAGUUUAGUUCCAGUUAAAGAAACCCUUAACGUCCACACUGUUUUUGCAGCACUCUCACAUUUGUUGAUGCUGUGUUGGCUGAGGCAUUACGUACAAAGCCCAGUCUGCCGAGCUUAGAUCAGAAAACUGAACCUGCACUUUAGGCUGCUCACAAAGCAGUGCUACUGCACUAAGUGUCCAACUUUCAAAGCAACGGAGGGAAGGUCGUGACAUGCUGUAAAGACCAUCACAAUGAUAGCCUGUUCGGGUGCCUAACCUCAGGUGAGAUCCCUUGUAGAUAGUUUCAUUUAUUUUCCUCCAUUAACUGGGUAUGAAACUGAAGCACCGCAGAAAAAGUGCUUCCUAAGUCUUUAGGCUUCAGUGAACUGCUUGCGCUCAGCAGGCUAGAGCCCACACUAUUUUCCAUCUUAGGUACCUAAUGGUUGUUCGAGUCCAUUUUAAGUAAAUGCCUUAAAGUCUGACCUAUAGAUUGUAAAUGUUUUUACAUCAAUGUGUAAUCAGGUGUUGUAGGUGCGGUUUAGGCAUUGCAUGGAAGCAGAGUCUCUUAGCUUGACAUAAACAUCUAAAAAGUUGAGGUUUUAAAAUUUUUUUUUAUUCCUCUCAUCAACAUUAAAAAAACCAACACCGUAACCUGUUACUCCUGUCCAUUCUGUAAUAAGCUACAUGAAAGAAAUAAAUUCUAAAAAACA